GGGAGCGGCAGACGGGUGAGUAACGCGUGGGAAUCUACCUUUUGCUACGGAAUAACUCAGGGAAACUUGUGCUAAUACCGUAUGUGCCCUUCGGGGGAAAGAUUUAUCGGCAAAGGAUGAGCCCGCGUUGGAUUAGCUAGUUGGUGAGGUAAAGGCUCACCAAGGCGACGAUCCAUAGCUGGUCUGAGAGGAUGAUCAGCCACACUGGGACUGAGACACGGCCCAGACUCCUACGGGAGGCAGCAGUGGGGAAUAUUGGACAAUGGGCGCAAGCCUGAUCCAGCCAUGCCGCGUGAGUGAUGAAGGUCUUAGGAUUGUAAAGCUCUUUCACCGGUGAAGAUAAUGACGGUAACCGGAGAAGAAGCCCCGGCUAACUUCGUGCCAGCAGCCGCGGUAAUACGAAGGGGGCUAGCGUUGUUCGGAUUUACUGGGCGUAAAGCGCACGUAGGCGGACUUUUAAGUCAGGGGUGAAAUCCCGGGGCUCAACCCCGGAACUGCCUUUGAUACUGGAAGUCUUGAGUAUGGUAGAGGUGAGUGGAAUUCCGAGUGUAGAGGUGAAAUUCGUAGAUAUUCGGAGG
rnacentral:rRNA from 1 species